rnacentral:rRNA from 1 species
UACGAAGGGGGGCUAGCGUUGCUCGGAAUCACUGGGCGUAAAGGGUGCGUAGGCGGGUCUUUAAGUCAGGGGUGAAAUCCUGGAGCUCAACUCCAGAACUGCCUUUGAUACUGAGGAUCUUGAGUUCGGGAGAGGUGAGUGGAACUGCGAGUGUAGAGGUGAAAUUCGUAGAUAUUCGCAAGAACACCGAGGCGGCAGGA